UUGAGGAUAGCCGUCCUAACGGACGGGUAAUACUCGAUGACAUCGCAAGAUCAAAGCUCCGGCGCCGUCGGAGGGGCCCAUGUCGGAUUAGCUAGUUGGGGGGGUAACGGCCCACCAAGGCUAAGACGGCUAGCGGGUGUGAGAGCACGACCCGCGCCACUGGCACUGAGACACUGGCCAGACACCUACGGGUGGCUGCAGUCGAGGAUCUUCGUCAAUGGGCGAAAGCCUGAACGAGCGAUGCCGCGUGAGCGAUGAAGGCCUUCGGGUUGUAAAGCUCAAAAGUGAAGAGAAAGGGAAACUUGAUCGAUUCACAGUAAGCUCGGGCUAAGUUCGUGCCAGCAGCCGCGGUAAGACGAACCGAGCGAACGUUGUUCGGAAUCACUGGGCUUAAAGGGCGCGUAGGCGGGCGGCUAAGUCUGUGGUGAAAUCCUCCAGCUCAACUGGAGAACUGCCAUGGAUACUGGUCGUCUCGAGGAAGGUAGGGGUAUGCGGAACUAUCGGUGGAGCGGUGAAAUGCGUUGAUAUCGAUAGGAACUCCGGUGGCGAAGGCGGCAUACUGGACCUUUUCUGACGCUGAGGCGCGAAAGCCAGGGGAGCAAACGGGAUUAGAUACCCCGGUAGUCCUGGCCCUAAACGAUGGGUACUAGCUAGUAGGGUUCACAUGGCUUUACUGGCGAAGCAAAAGUGCUAAGUACCCCGCCUGGGGAGUAUGGUCGCAAGGCUGAAACUCAAAGGAAUUGACGGGGGCUCACACAAGCGGUGGAGCAUGUGGCUUAAUUCGAGGCUACGCGAAGAACCUUAUCCUAGACUUGACAUGUGCGAUAGCGUUGAGCGGUACGUCUCCGAAAGGAAGGCCGAUUCCCAGCAAUGGGAGGACUCAACACAGGUGCUGCAUGGCUGUCGUCAGCUCGUGUCGUGAGAUGUCGGGUUAAGUCCCAUAACGAGCGAAACCCU
rnacentral:rRNA from 1 species